rnacentral:rRNA from 1 species
AUACGGAGGAUCCGAGCGUUAUCCGGAUUUAUUGGGUUUAAAGGGAGCGUAGGCGGACGCUUAAGUCAGUUGUGAAAGUUUGCGGCUCAACCGUAAAAUUGCAGUUGAUACUGGGUGGCUUGAUUGCGGUCGAGGUUGGCGGAAUUCGUUGUGUAGCGGUGAAAUGCAUAGAUAUGACGAAGAACACCGAUUGCGUAGGCAGCUGACCAGACCGCAAAUGACGCUCAUGCACGAAAGUGCGGGGAUCGAACAGGAUUAGAUACCCUGGUAGUCCGCACAGUAAACGAUGAAUACUUGUUUUCGGCGAUAUAAUGUCGGAGGCAAAGCGAAAGCGAUAAGUAUUCCACCUGGGGAGUACGCCGGCAACGGUGAAACUCAAAGGAAUUGGCGGGG